rnacentral:rRNA from 1 species
GCAAGUCGAGGGGUAACAGGGUGCUUGCACCGCUGACGACCGGCGCACGGGUGCGUAACGCGUAUACAAUCUACCUUUUACAGAGGGAUAGCCCAGAGAAAUUUGGAUUAAUAUCUCAUAGUAUUAUUGACUGGCAUCAGUUGGUAAUUAAAACUUCGGUGGUAAAAGAUGAGUAUGCGUUCUAUUAGCUAGUAGGUAAGGUAACGGCUUACCUAGGCGACGAUAGAUAGGGGUCCUGAGAGGGAGAUC